UUGUGUGUGCACCGCACUGACAGUGACGCUGUGUGUGGGGCUUGACGCGCAUGAUCUCAUUUAUUCUGAAAAGCACAUGAUCUCAUUUACUCAGAACUUGAACUCAGAUCUCUCUGGUUCCCUUCUAGCCAGAAAACCAUCUGGAAAGGCACUUUCUCUUAUUAACCCACUGAAUCCAUAUAAGGCAGACACUCUUUUAUCCCAUUCUACUGAAGAGGAGACCGAGGCACAGAGCAUUCCUCAACUGAGAAAUUCUCUAACAAGAAAUCAUCAAGGUUUGCGGACAGAACUGAAAUCAGACACACCUCCUGAUACUUGGCCAGGUGAGUGAAAAUAAAGAUGUCACAGGCUUCCAGGCAAGAGUCUCUGCUCCUCAGAAGAAGGGUGACCAGGAAGAAAGGGAACGUGGGCUCCUCGGCUCUGAUGUUGCCUCUUGAUGUUCAUA